CAUAGAGUUCUGGUGAUGGAGAAGCUCCUGUCAGUUCUACAAAGAAACAGAGGAUCAAUGAGUUAUUGAUUUGAAUAUCCUAGUGUUUGAUUUUCAGUUUCUUCCGUCCACUUCCUCCUCGUCAACUACCAACUGCUAACAGAGCCGCGGCAGAAUAAACGAAACAACAGAGUCUAGAGACGACUCUCGAAGGCCAACAACAACAAAAACUAAAUUGUGUAAGACUUGGCGGGAUGAAGUUGUCGUCUGACACGGCUCCGAACGUGAAACUCCGUCUCCUCCUCUCCAUGCUGAUGAACAGCUCUUUUCACAGAUGCAGGAAAUCACUGCAGGCUGCAGC